AUUGAACGCUAACGGCGUGCUUAACACAUGCAAGUCGAGCGGCAGCGUGACUGUAGCAAUACAGUUGAUGGCGAGCGGCGGACGGGUGAGUAAUGCAUAGGAAUCUGCCUUGUAGUGGGGGAUAACCCGGGGAAACUCGGGCUAAUACCGCAUAAUCUCUACGGAGCAAAGUGGGGGACCUUCGGGCCCUACGCUAACAGAUGAGCCUAUGUUGGAUUAGCUAGUUGGUAGGGUAAAAGCCUACCAAGGCAACGAUCCAUAGCUGGUCUGAGAGGAUGAUCAGCCACACUGGGACUGGGACACGGCCCAGACUCCUACGGGAGGCAGCAGUGGGGAAUAUUGGACAAUGGGCGAAAGCCUGAUCCAGCAACGCCGUGUGUGUGAAGAAGGCCUUCGGGUUGUAAAGCACUUUUAGUGGGAAAGAAAAGUUCAUGGCUAAUAUCCAUGAAUGCUGACGUUACCCACAGAAAAAGCACUGGCUAACUCUGUGCCAGCCGCCGCGGUAA
rnacentral:rRNA from 1 species